rnacentral:rRNA from 1 species
GGGGAAUUUUGGAUAAUGGGGGCAACCCUGAUCCAGCCAUGCCGCGUGAGUGAAGAAGGCCCUCGGGUUGUAAAGCUCUUUUGUCCGGAAAGAAAAGCAUUCGGUGAAUACCCGGAUGUUCUGACGGUACCGGAAGAAUAAGCACCGGCUAACUUCGUGCCAGCAGCCGCGGUAAUACGAAGGGUGCAAGCGUUACUCGGAAUUACUGGGCGUAAAGCGUGCGGAGGUGGUUGUUUAAGUCUGAUGUGAAAGCCCUGGGCUCAACCUGGGAAUGGCAUUGGAAACUGGGCAGCUAGAGUGCGGUAGAGGGGAGUGGAAUUCCAGGUGUAGCAGUGAAAUGCGUAGAGAUCGGGAGGAACAUCUGUGGCGAAGGCGACUGCCUGGACCAGCACUGACACUGAGGCACGAAAGCGUGGGGAGCAAACA